AAUAUAAACUCUAAGAGAAAUCAGUUAGUUAACGAAGUGAAUUGAAAUAUCUUAGUAACUUCAGGAAAAGAAAUCAAAAGAGAUUCUAUUAUUAACGUGAGCUAAAAUAGAACAGUCUAUAUAUUAAGUAAAACGGCUACAACUGUUUGAAUUAAUGGGGGACCUUCCUCAAAGGCUAAAUAUAAUACAUGAGCGAAAGCGUAUAGUACCGUGAGGGAACGAUUUUAAAUAGUAGUUUUAUAAGCAGUUCGAGCGAAAGUAAGAACGUACCUUUUGCAUAAUGGGUUGCCAAGUUAACAUUAGCUGCGAGCGUAAGCGUAGAUAAACCAAUCGUUAAAAUAACGAAAAGUAUCUAAAGUUAGACCCGAAGCCCGGUGAUUUUACCAUAAUCAGGAUUAUAAAGGUCCGAACGGGUUAUCGUUGCAAAGAUAUCCGAGGAAUUAUGGUAGGUAGUGAAAGACAAAACUGACCGGGAUAGCUGGUUUUCUGCGAAACCUAUAACAGUAGGCAAUUUGAGUAACAUCUUAGCAGGUACAGAACUUAAUCUCAGACAAGGUGUAUAAGUUUUAAAGCGAAAGCUGUAAAACUACAUCAUACAUAUUUGUAUAUAUCGGGGGAUCGUGAAGAUUUUAUCGGUGAGUAUGUAGACUCGGAAUGGCAAAGAUGAAUCUUGAAUUAUCGGACAUAGAAUGAUAAGGUUGUAUGUCAAAAGGGAAACAGCCCAGAACAAGAGUUAAGGUUCCAAAAUUAUUAGUUGAGUGAAAUUAAGAAAGUUAUUAUUAAAGUCGACAAGGAGAUGGGCUUAGAAGCAGCCAUAAUUUGAAGUACUCGUAACAGAGCGCUUGUUAAGUUUUAAAAGCAUCGAAAAUUUAACGGAUCUAAACAAUAUACCGAAACCUUGUCCAUAAAAAUUACAUUAUUGUGAUUUUAUGGGGUAGCAGAACGUUGAAUUAAAUUAAGAUAUUUACUCUAAAAAAUAGAUAACAAAUAAUUCAAGUGAUAAUGGUAACAUGAGUAACGAAUAAGAAGGACGUGGGAAAAAA
rnacentral:ncRNA from 1 species